rnacentral:rRNA from 1 species
UACAGAGGUGGCAAACGUUGUUCGGAUUUACUGGGCGUAAAGGGUGCGUAGGUGGACUCGUAUGUUGGAUGUGAAAUCCCACUGCUUAACGGUGGAAUUGCAUUCAAAACUGCAAGUCUGGAGUCCAGAAGGGGAGAGCGGAAUUCUUGGUGUAGCGGUGAAAUGCGUUGAUAUCAAGAAGAACACCGGCGGCGAAGGCGGCUCUCUGGUCUGGUACUGACGCUGAGGCACGAAAGUUGGGGGAGCGAACAGG